rnacentral:pre_miRNA from 12 species
GGGCAGAAGAUGAGUUUGAUCAGAGCACGAUGGCAGUGUGGUUAGCUGGUUGUGUAGUUGUUAAUCACGACCGCUUCUGCACUGCCCUCGUGAGUUGAUUAUGAUCGUCUGUCGACAUG